AUUGAACGCUAGCGGCAUGCCUAACACAUGCAAGUCGAGCGGAGCGGCGGACGGGUGAGUAAUGCCUAGGAAUCUGCCUGGUAGCGGGGGAUAACGUCCGGAAACGGGAGCUAAUACCGCAUACUAUCAGAUGAGCCGAGGUCGGAUUAGCUAGUUGGUGGGGUAAAGGCCUACCAAGGCGACGCUCCGUAACUGGUCUGAGAGGAUGAUCAGGCACACUGGAACUGAGACACGGCCCAGACUCCUACGGUGGGCAGCAGUGGGGAAUAUUGGACAAGGGGGGAAACCCUGAUCCAGCCAUGCCGCGUGUGUGAAGAAGGUCUUCGGAUUGGAAAGCACUUUAAGUUGGGAGGCGGUACCAACAGAAUAAGCACCGGCUAACUUCGUGCCAGCAGCCGCGGUAAUAC
rnacentral:rRNA from 1 species